UGAAGAUUCCCUGAUAUACGUCACAGCAAGGCGCUGCAGUUCCUGUCUGUUCGAUCAUGCCACCUUGUGCAUGCUGGGAAGCAGGGUGUGUCAGCAUGCAAGCAUACCAACGCAUCGGACAGAGGGCUGGGGGCGGUGUUGUCCCAGGAGGUGGAGGGGGAGGACCGCCCCAUCCUGUACAUCAGCAGGAAGCUGUCGUGACCGCACCCUAUUUAAGGAGGGAGAGCGAGAGCAGAGGAGAACUUCCCUGGACGAGAUGCUAGUGUGUGUCUGUCUCUCUCUACGUUACGAAAUAUUGUUAGACUGAAAAGUGUGGCAAUAAAACCUUUUGUUCACCUGA